UACGGGGGGGGCAAGCGUUGUUCGGAAUUACUGGGCGUAAAGGGCUCGUAGGUGGCCAACUAAGUCGGACGUGAAAUCCCUCAGCUUAACUGGGGAACUGCGUCCGAUACUGGAUGGCUUGAGUUUGGGAGAGGGAUGCGGAAUUCCAGGUGUAGCGGUGAAAUGCGUAGAUAUCUGGAGGAAUACCGGUGGCGAAGGCGGCAUCCUGGACCGGCAUUGACGCUGAUGAGCGAAAGCUAGGGGAGCGAACAGG
rnacentral:rRNA from 1 species